ACAAAGGAGCCAUCUGGCCAGGCAGGGGCGGGUGCAGGCUCAGCCCCUCGGUGUCCCAGGCAGCUAGGGGGUGGGGUGCUGUCUGCACAGGCAGGCUGAGCUUAGGACCGAGGCCCCUCUCUGCAGCCUGGUACAGGCAGUGUCCACAUAGCCCAGGACUUCUCCACCUCAGCACUAAUGACACAUAGGGGCAGAUGAUUCUCGGGAGCGGGGCGUGAGGCUGUCCUGUACAUUGUAGGAUGUUGAGCAGCAUCCCCGGCCUCUACCUAUUAGAUGGCGAUAGCAUCCCCCGUCUCAAAUUAUGUAAGGCAAAAAGAUUUUCAAAUGUCCCCUGGGGACAAAAUCAACCCGAGUUAAGAGCCACUGACUGAGACCGGCAGCUCUCUCUCCUCACCCACCAGUUCCCAUGUUCCAUGCUUUUCCUGGGUAAUGAACCCCCGUCAGGGCCCAGGAGCUGACUGCAGCAGCUGCUUCAUGUACAUCUCACUGCAUCCUCCCACCAACGCUGUGAUGUGGAGGUGAAGAAGAUCUCCAUUUUACAGGAGAAGAAACGAAGACCUGGAAAGCACUGAUGACUUCAGGUUGCAGCCAGCCAUCAGGGAGCCAGCAAUAGAUGCAAGGAUUGGAGGACUCUGAGGCUAAUAUGGAGUAGAAUGCUCAGUAAAUGCCAGCUGCAGUGGGGUGGCCAUCCCAGGGGAUGAUGCCCCAGUGCCCAGGUCCUCUGUGCAAGUUCAUCCCAAGCUGUGCCAUCCCUUCCAAAUCCUUCACAAGCCAGAUGCAGGAGCGAAUCUUGUCACUGAGUUGCAGUCAUGGCCUAAGGGUGUUUCAGGAUAAACAGAAGAAGCAGAGGACAGCUGAUCUGGAUGUGUUGCCUCCCCCACUAACAUUAUUGUUACCCUCUUGGAAUUAGAGACCAUGCCAGCCUGUAUCUCCUCCUUCCUCUCUGUCCUGUGCAGAGCUGAGUGUGUCCUCAAUGUUUACAUAAAAUGCCAUAAAUCAUGGAAUCUUUAAGCACAAGAGACCUCAGAGGCCAACUCCAAGCCACAAACAAGGAACCCUGAAUCGAAAGGGAAUCUAAAGCUUCAGGCAAAGAGAGAGGAGAUUGGAUGGUGUGUCAAGCACAGUGCUACCCCCUUUAUAGGCAUGGCAUUGAGGUAGGACAUGGGACUUGACUCUGGAGGCAGGGCUCAGGUACGGGACCAAACUGAAGACUAGCUAAAAUAGGGACAGGGUGAAAACACCUUUCCAUAGGAAAUGCCUGUCAGUGUGCCAUGUCAGUUUAUCAUUGCCAUGGCAACACCUGGAAGUUACUGCCCCUUUCCAUGGCAACAACCCGAUGACUGGAAAGUUUCCAACCCUUUUCUAGAAAUUUCUGCAUAAUGCACCCUUUAAUUUGCAUAUAAUUAAAAGUGGGUAUAAAUAUGACUGCAGGACUGCCUCUGAGCUGCUACUCUGGGCACAUUGCCUAUGGGGUAGCCCUGCUCUGCAAGAAGAAGUACCUCUGCUGCUGUGGUACACUGCCACUUCAAGAAAAGUUGCUAACACCACUGGCUAGCCCUUGAAGCCCUUGAAUUAUUUCCUAGGCAAAGCCAAGAACUCUCGCAAGCUAAACCCCAAUUUGGGGGGCUCACCUGCCCUGCAUCAGCGUAAUUUAAUACUCACAGCUACCCUCCAAAGCCAGCAUCAUGAUACCCACCUGAGAGGUCAGAAAACCGAGACACGGAGUGAUGGCGGCUGACUCAGUUCCCCUAGCUGGGACUCACAGCUGGAUGCAAGCUGCCUAACCUGAGGCUUCAGGCUCUAUCCACAGUCUGCAGGCAUACUGACUGGCCUCUGUUUAUGCAUCUGUGAAAUGGGGAUGAUGAGGGCAAGUAUUCAUACUAUGCCCCACCCAGCAGGCUUCAGGCAAUGAGGAACUAUAAGCAUGGAUGUGAAUGUGUUCUGGACAUGGAAUGGAUGAUACAAAGAGAAUGGAUACUCAGGUGCCCAGAGAGCCCUGGCUUUGUUCCUGGAAGUGGUCAGAUAAAAAAACCAAAAAAAAAAAAACAGUUUGGAUGUGGAGUCAGGAAGAACUAGGUUCAAAUAUUACCUUUUCCACUUAAUCAGUGCCUGACCUUUGGCAGGUAACUCUACCAACCCUUCCACCCGCCUUUUGUAAAUAUUCACAGAGUGAGGGUCAUGUGCAAGAUACAGAAGUCAGUCUGGAUUCAAAUAGGCUCUGCUGGGGUGACAUGUAGGAAUCUGCACAAGUGAUUUGUCAUCGUCACCAUCAUCAUCACUGAGGCACAGCACACAUAUAAUACAAUGCAUAAAUCUAAAAGCAAAACCUGAAGAAUUUCUGCAUGUGCAUAGUGUUGUAGACUAAAUUGUGUCCUCCCACCCCCUGAAAAGUUAUCUAUUGAAGUCCUGACCUUCAUAACUUGGGAAAAUGGCUGUAUUUGAAGACAAGAUCUUUAAAGAAGUAAAGUAAAAUGAGGCCAUUAGGGUGGGCCCUAAUCCAUUUUACUGAUGUCAUGCACGGAUGCAUGUGUACAGAGGAAAGGCCAUGUGAGGACACGGCGAGAAGACGGCCACCUGCAAGCCAAGGAGAGAGAUCUCAAGAGAGACCAAACCUGCUGGCCCCUGAUCUUACACUUCCAGCUUCCAGAAUUGUAAGAAAGUAAACUUCGGUUGUCCAACCUACCCAGUCUGUGGUAUUUUGUUAUGGUAGCCUGGUCAGACUAAUACACAUAACCUUGUGUAACCAGCACUACGAUUAGGAGCAGAAUAUUUCCAAUAACCCAGCAGCCCCUGCCAUCAUGACCUUCUCAAUCUUGCCCUCUACCCCCAGAAGUAAUCAUUGCUCUGAUCCCUGUUAUCAUCAACUAGUUCUGUCCAUUUCUGAACUUCAUAUAGGUGGAACCAUACAAUAUGUUUCCUUUGUGCCUGGCUUCUUUGACUCAGCAUUCCAUUUCUGAAAUGCAUCUUUCCUAUUGGGUGCAGCCGUCAUUCAUUCUUUUUCUUUGCUGUAUAAUAUUCCACCGUGUGACUUCAUCACAGUUUGUUUAUCCAUUUCCCCAUUGAUACACAUUUUGGUUGUUUCUAUUUUUUAGCUCUUUUGAAUAAAGCUCUUAUGGGCAUUCUUGUGCAAGUCUUCAA